GUUGUUUCAAUAAAUUAUUGAAUAAACAUCCUGUAAGCAAACAUUUAUUUCAUGGGAAUCUGACCUAAGAUAGUCAUCUCCACCAAUGGACCUAGGAGGCUGCUUAAGAUUUAAAGGUUGGCUUAUUUACUGUUCAACUGUCAAUCAGGACCCCAUAACUGAUGCAAAUUAAGAUACUGUUAGACCCUUGUAUCAGUGCAAUUGUUAGAACUUUUACAGGUAGAGAACUGGAUAAAAUGCCAGUGAAAAGGAGUGUACUUACUGAGUGGUGUGAAAUCUCAGAUGUUGAGAGGUGCAGUAAAAAAGUACUACCUGUGCCAACUAUGGAAUUGUUUGACUGUUGCUUGGUAUUAUCAAUAUACUUGAGAAAGACAAUGAAAGGCAGAGGGAUUAUAACUCACCAACCUAAGGCAAAGUAUGAAUGUCAGAGGGUCUCCUUGGCCAAAUAAAUUUUCUCAUUUCCUAUAACUAGAGGGCAGAAAAUGCUGAAGAUCAGGACCAAGAUUCAGUUUUAAGGAUGAAAGAGUCCCAGAGAAGGCUAACUUCUCAACCUCAACAAGUCUCCUAUAUUAAGAUCAGGCCUUGAUUAAGAAGGAGCCUGGGACAUGAGAUAGGGAUACCUGAGUUAUUGCAUUAUGGAAGUGACCCACUCCCCUCUCUGCAGACAGUUAAGACUUCUUACCCUCAUCAAAAAUGAUGCAGAGCAUGAGAAGAAGAUUAACAUUAAACAGGGAUGAGAGGUGGGAGGGAAAGGGAGAGAGAAGGGAAAUUGCAUGGAAAUGGAAGGAGACCCUCAGAGUUAUACAAAAGUACAUACAAG
rnacentral:lncRNA from 1 species